rnacentral:lncRNA from 12 species
UUGGGCAGAGGAGGAUAGCAAUUAAAUCUCCUUUUGUCUUCUCUUCUCCAGAGUAAGCAAACCCAGCUGUCCCAGCCUGUGAUCCUACAUUAUGUGCUCCAAUCUCUACUCUGUCUUUGUGAUCCUCACAGCAUUUAUCACAAGUGAUACAGGAACAAUUUCUUCCUUCCCUUUCUUUCUGAGGGUCACAUUACCUGUGUACAUCACACAUUUCCUUCAUUUCUGCAUCCUCUGCAGAAGCACAGUGAGUGGAAAAGGGGAAAGAAAACCAGAAAGAGGGAGUUUUCUGGCAGAGGGACAUGGAAUGAGUAAGAAGAAAGGCAAUGAAUGGGGAAAGGGAAGAGCGAAGAGUGGUGAAUAGACUAAACAGCCAGACUUGUGGUACCUAGCAAGCUGCUGACAAGAGGACAGUGUUGCCUUUUGUACACAGGAUCUUUGAUGUGGGAUUUGAAAAAGCUGGAGCUCCUGCCCCAGUACAUCUCCAAAGGAUUGCUCUUUUUCUCAACUUAUUAUGGGCAUUUUUAACCUGCUGCCUGCCAUGGCCAAGCACUCCAUCUCACUGGACCCACAGCCAUCUGCUCUGAAGACUCUCCCUCAUCAUGUCUUGUCCUGUCAUCUGGAGUCUGUUCACAUGACAGUGGAACUUGGGGUAAUAGCCUCAGCCAAGUGCUGUCCAGUGCACUCCAUGGAAAGGGAAAGGGUCUUGGUGUCAC